CUUGUUUUCCUGGCACUAUAGUGCCCUGAGGGUGCCCCCACCCUCAGGGUCCCCCUCCCGCCAGGCUCUAGGGGGUGGAAGGGGUUAAACUUACCUCUUUCUCUAGCGCCGGGCGGGGAGCUCUCCUCCUCCUCUCCUCCCUCUUCUUCCGUCACCGGCUGAAUGCGCAAGGUGUGUGUUUUUUAUAGGUGUUGGUUACAGCUGCCCUGCCCUAUAAAAAACACACACCAGUUCUGGGUUUGCUUUUCACAAGAAGCAUUGCCUGAUGUGAAUGAUGCCUUGC